rnacentral:rRNA from 1 species
GAAGGGUGCAAGCGUUACUCGGAAUUACUGGGCGUAAAGCGUGCGUAGGUGGUUCGUUAAGUCUGUCGUGAAAGCCCCGGGCUCAACCUGGGAAUGGCGAUGGAUACUGGCGGGCUAGAGUGCGGUAGAGGAGAGUGGAAUUCCCGGUGUAGCAGUGAAAUGCGUAGAGAUCGGGAGGAACAUCAGUUGCGAAGGCGGCUCUCUGGACCAGCACUGACACUGAGGCACGAAAGCGUGGGGAGCAAACAGGAUUAGAUACCCUGGUAGUCCACGCCCUAAACGAUGCGAACUGGACGUUGGGAGCAACUAGGCUCUCAGUGUCGAAGCUAACGCGUUAAGUUCGCCGCCUGGGGAGUACGGUCGCAAG